GCCUCGCGCCGGGACAGGGCGCCAACGGCCGGAGCGCGUCCCCGGUCCUACUAGGACCGCUUGAAAACUGAGCCCGCGCUGACCGAGCCUGGGCCGGAUGGGCGCAGCGGACCCUGCCGCGGACCGCCGAGCGGCCGUUGCACUGGCUUUCUCUUGUCCCAGUGUGUGGACCGCACCACACGCCCUCCUGACCAGCAACGGCUCUUGCGCAUGCUUUUCGGUGUUUUUAUCGGAGAGUCCGGCAGAGCCCUAGCUCCUCCAGAGCUGGCCCAGAACCGAGUGACAAGUGCCCAGCAGACAUGGUAAAAAUGACCAAGUCCAAAACUUUCCAAGCUUAUCUGCCACACUGUCACAGAACUUACAGCUGCAUCCACUGCAGAGCCCAUCUGGCCAAUCACGAUGAGCUCAUCUCCAAGUCCUUUCAGGGAAGCCAGGGGCGAGCCUACCUCUUCAACUCUGUGGUGAAUGUGGGCUGCGGCCCCGCUGAGGAGAGAGUCCUUCUAACUGGGCUGCAUGCAGUGGCCGACAUCUACUGUGAGAACUGCAAGACCACACUCGGGUGGAAAUAUGAACAUGCCUUUGAGAGCAGUCAGAAAUACAAGGAAGGAAAAUUUAUUAUUGAACUUGCCCACAUGAUCAAAGAUAACGGCUGGUAACGUGAAGCGGUCUGCUCCGGUCUGAAUACUACUUUAGGAAGCUGAGUGGAAAGAAGAUCUGACUUCUUGGUGACAGUGCUCCUUGAACUUACCCUCACAGGCUAGCCCAGUCUCAACACUUGAAGGGGGCUCUCUAGGCUGUCCACUUGGUAAGGUGCCCCAUCUGAAUCCCCUUGAUGUACUCCUGGAAGUUUGCAUUCUUUUUCUAACUUAAGUUCUAGAGGAAGAAUUGACCAGCUGGUGA
rnacentral:lncRNA from 1 species